rnacentral:rRNA from 1 species
GGAGGGGGAUAACUACUGGAAACGGUGGCUAAUACCGCAUAACGUCGCAAGACCAAAGAGGGGGACCUUCGGGCCUCUUGCCAUCAGAUGUGCCCAGAUGGGAUUAGCUUGUUGGUGAGGUAACGGCUCACCAAGGCGACGAUCCCUAGCUGGUCUGAGAGGAUGACCAGCCACACUGGAACUGAGACACGGUCCAGACUCCUACGGGAGGCAGCAGUGGGGAAUAUUGCACAAUGGGCGCAAGCCUGAUGCAGCCAUGCCGCGUGUAUGAAGAAGGCCUUCGGGUUGUAAAGUACUUUCAGCGGGGAGGAAGGUGUUGUGGUUAAUAACCGCAGCAAUUGACGUUACCCGCAGAAGAAGCACCGGCUAACUCCGUGCCAGCAGCCGCGGUAAUACGGAGGGUGCAAGCGUUAAUCGGAAUUACUGGGCGUAAAGCGCACGCAGGCGGUCUGUCAAGUCGGAUGUGAAAUCCCCGGGCUCAACCUGGGAACUGCAUUCGAAACUGGCAGGCUUGAGUCUUGUAGAGGGGGGUAGAAUUCCAGGUGUAGCGGUGAAAUGCGUAGAGAUCUGGAGGAAUACCGGUGGCGAAGGCGGCCCCCUGGACAAAGACUGACGCUCAGGUGCGAAAGCGUGGGGAGCAAACAGGAUUAGAUACCCUGGUAGUCCACGCCGUAAACGAUGUCUACUUGGAGGUUGUGCCCUUGAGGCGUGGCUUCCGGAGCUAACGCGUUAAGUAGACCGCCUGGGGAGUACGGCCGCAAGGUUAAAACUCAAAUGAAUUGACGGGGGCCCGCACAAGCGGUGGAGCAUGUGGUUUAAUUCGAUGCAACGCGAAGAACCUUACCUGGUCUUGACAUCCACAGAAGAAUCCAGAGAUGGAUUUGUGCCUUCGGGAACUGUGAGACAGGUGCUGCAUGGCUGUCGUCAGCUCGUGUUGUGAAAUGUUGGGUUAAGUCCCGCAACGAGCGCAACCC